rnacentral:rRNA from 1 species
CAGAGGUGGCAAGCGUUGUUCGGAAUUACUGGGCGUAAAGGGCGCGUAGGCGGCCAUCUAAGUCAGACGUGAAAUCCCCGGCUUAACCUGGGAACUGCGUCUGAUACUGGACGGCUCGAGUUUGGGAGAGGGAUGUGGAAUUCCAGGUGUAGCGGUGAAAUGCGUAGAUAUCUGGAGGAACACCGGUGGCGAAGGCGGCAUCCUGGACCAACACUGACGCUGAGGCGCGAAAGCUAGGGGAGCAAACGGGAUUAGAUACCCCGGUAGUCCUAGCCCUAAACGAUGAAUGCUUGGUGUGGCGGGUAUCGAUCCCUGCCGUGCCGAAGCUAACGCAUUAAGCAUUCCGCCUGGGGAGUACGGUCGCAAGGCUG